UACGUAGGGUGCAAGCGUUGUCCGGAAUUAUUGGGCGUAAAGAGCUCGUAGGCGGUCUGUCGCGUCGGAUGUGAAAACUCGGGGCUCAACCCCGGGCCUGCAUUCGAUACGGGCAGACUAGAGUUCGGCAGGGGAGACUGGAAUUCCUGGUGUAGCGGUGAAAUGCGCAGAGUAUCAGGAGGAACACCGGUGGCGAAGGCGGGUCUCUGGGCCGAAACUGACGCUGAGGAGCGAAAGCGUGGGGAGCAAACAGG
rnacentral:rRNA from 1 species